rnacentral:rRNA from 1 species
GACGUAGGGUGCGAGCGUUGUCCGGAUUUAUUGGGCGUAAAGAGCUCGUAGGCGGUGUGUCACGUCGUUCGUGAAAACUGCAGCUUAACUGUGGGCGUGCGGUCGAUACGGGCAUCACUGGAGUUCGGCAGGGGGAGACUGGAAUUCCUGGUGUAGCGGUGAAAUGCGCAGAUAUCGGGAGGAACACCGGUGGCGAAGGCGGGUUCUCUGGGCCUUACCCUGGACGCUGAGGAGCGAAAGCGUGGGGAGCGAAACAGGAUAGAUACCG